rnacentral:rRNA from 1 species
CGCUAGUAAUCGCGGAUCAGCAUGCCGCGGUGAAUACGUUCCCGGGUCUUGUACACACCGCCCGUCACACCACGAGAGUUGGUAACACCCGAAGUCGGUGAGGUAACCUUUUGGAGCCAGCCGCCGAAGGUGGGACCAAUGAUUGGGGUGAAGUCGUAACAAGGUAGCCGUAUCGGAAGGUGCGGCUGGAUCACCUCCUUUCUAAGGA